CCUACGGGUGGCAGCAGUGAGGAAUAUUGGUCAAUGGACGAGAGUCUGAACCAGCCAAGUAGCGUGAAGGAUGACUGCCCUAUGGGUUGUAAACUUCUUUUAUAUGGGAAUAAAACGUUCCACGUGUGGGAUUUUGUAUGUACCAUAUGAAUAAGGAUCGGCUAACUCCGUGCCAGCAGCCGCGGUAAUACGGAGGAUCCGAGCGUUAUCCGGGUUUAUUGGGUUUAAAGGGAGCGUAGGUGGAUUGUUAAGUCAGUUGUGAAAGUUUACGGCUCAACCGUAAAAUUGCAGUUGAAACUGGCAGUCUUGAGUACAGUAGAGGUAGGCGGAAUUCGUGGUGUAGCGGUGAAAUGCUUAGAUAUCACGAAGAACUCCGAUUGCGAAGGCAGUUCACUGGACUGCAACUGACACUGAGGCUCGAAAGUGUGGGUAUCAAACAGGAUUAGAUACCCUAGUAGUA
rnacentral:rRNA from 1 species